rnacentral:lncRNA from 1 species
CAAACAUUGAAUAUGCAUUUAGCUUGCAUUUUAUUUCUUUAGUUUAUUUGUGAUCCAUGAACACCAAAAAUUGUAAAGUUGCAAGAAAAUAGAACUGUUGUGUUGUGUAAUGUUUAUGUAAUUCUGCAUACUGAUGAUUCAUUUUCUUCAUCUUCAGUUUCUUGAGCCUCUUAAGCUGUGUUAUAGAUCACUCAGUGAUUGCGGUGAUCGGCCAAUUGCUGAUGGAAGCCUUCUUGAUUUCUUACGACAAGUUUCAACGUUUGGGCUUGCACUCGUGAGACUUGAUAUAAGGCAAGAGUCAGAUAGGCACACUGAUGUUCUAGAUGCUAUUACAAGGCACCUGGAGAUCGGGUCGUACAAAGAAUGGUCAGAAGAACGCAGACAGGAGGGGCUUUUAUCUGAACUUAGUGGCAAACGCCCUCUUUUUGGGCCCGAUCUUCCCAAAACCGAAGAAAUUGCUGAUGUCUUAGAAACCUUUCAUGUCAUUGCUGAACUCCCGUCGGAUAACUUUGGGGCCUACAUAAUUUCCAUGGCAACUGCCCCAUCUGAUGUCCUUGCAGUAGAGCUUUUACAACGCGAGUGCCAUGUCAAAAAUCCUCUAAGGGUGGUCCCAUUGUUUGAAAAGCUUGAUGAUCUUGAGGCUGCACCUGCUGCUGUGGCUCGGCUUUUCUCAAUAGAUUGGUAUCGUAAUAGGAUUAAUGGGAAACAAGAAGUCAUGAUUGGGUAUUCGGAUUCAGGAAAGGAUGCUGGACGGCUUUCUGCAGCAUGGCAGUUUUAUAAGGCCCAGGAGGAGCUUAUAAAGGUCGCAAAACAAUAUGGCAUAAAGCUCACAAUGUUUCAUGGCCGAGGUGGGACGGUUGGAAGAGGAGGCGGCCCAACCCAUCUUGCUAUAUUAUCUCAGCCACCGGACACCAUUCAUGGCUCACUUCGUGUCACUGUUCAAGGUGAAGUUAUUGAACAAUCAUUUGGCGAGGAGCACUUAUGUUUCAGAACGCUCCAACGUUUUACUGCAGCUACACUUGAGCAUGGAAUGCGCCCCCCUGUUGUACCGAAGCCAGAAUGGCGUGCUCUCAUGGAUGAGAUGGCUGUGUUUGCCACAAAAGAGUAUCGUUCUGUGGUUUUCCAGGAACCUAGAUUUGUUGAGUACUUCCGCCUCGUAAGUAUUUAUAUACUAUAGUAUUUUUUUGGUCAGAAUCUGCAAGAAAAUCACAUAUAAACACAGUAAACCUAAUAGGUUUAGAUUGAAGAAUGGUAACUUCUACAUGUGGAAAUAUAAGUUGGCAUCAAAGUUGGCAGUUUGACUAAAGAAGACUGAUAAUUGUUGGCUUACCCAUAUGGUGAAUAGGGCUUUUGUAACAUUUUCUUGUCUAGCUCUCUUUCUGAGAAUUGCAGGCAACACCUGAGUUAGAGUAUGGUCGGAUGAACAUCGGAAGCCGCCCAUCAAAAAGAAAGCCUGGCGGUGGAAUAGAAUCACUUCGAGCCAUUCCAUGGAUAUUUGCGUGGACGCAGACAAGAUUUCAUCUUCCUGUCUGGCUUGGCUUUGGAGCUGCAAUCAAGCAUGCCAUUGGGAAGGAUAUUAGAACUCUUCAAACUCUCAAGGAUAUGUACAAUGGAUGGCCUUUCUUCGGAGUGACAAUUGACUUGAUUGAAAUGGUUUUGGCCAAAGGAGACCCAGAAAUUGCUGCUUUGUACGACAAAUUUUUAGUGUCAGAAGAUUUGUGGCCAUUUGGAAAGCAACUGGGAAACAAUUAUGAAGAAACUAAGAAUCUGAUCCUUCAGGUAAGGGCCUUCUUUCCAUUUUAAUACCUUUAUUCACUAAAACAUAACUGUUCUACAACCUUAAUGUGGAUGCUAUUGUUGUUUCCCAUCACGCUUUACGCUAUCGUGUGAAAACUGUGUCCUGCUAAAUGAAAGAUGAAAUGGAAAGACUUUCUCAAUGUCGCUUUUCUUUGUGAAUAUAUGGUAAUUACUUUUCGAGUAUGUAAAAAAUUGACGGUUAGUUGAUUUUUGUCAACUUCCAAGAAAUAGAAGGUGAAAAAAGAAUGUUGAGCUGAGAAUGCGUGGUGGAUUUUAAUUUAUUUGUUUUGCAUGCUCAUCGUUCUUUUUAUUUUGGUUAACGAUAAAGAAGUUCAGUUGCUACUAGUUCAUGAUUAGUUCAACUUCCAUUCAAUGGAAGUAAUGCAAAAUAUCCUGAAAUGGGAAGCUGUUAUGGCCUCUCUUCUUAGGUUGCCGGACACAAGGAACUUCUCGAAGGAAAUCCCUACUCGAGGCAGAGAUUCCGACUUCGGGAUCCGUACAUCACCGUCCUUAACGUCUGCCAAGUCUACACGUUGAAGCAGAUACGUGAUCCAACUUACCGUGUAAAGGUGAGGCCACAUCUCUCAAAAGAGAUAAUGGAAAUGGAUAUGAGAAAACCGGCUGCUGAACUGGUGAAGCUCAACCCUAAAAGUGAGUAUGCUCCCGGGUUGGAAGUCACGCUUAUCUUGACCAUGAAGGGUAUUGCAGCUGGAAUGCAGAACACGGGCUAAGGUCGGGUUAUCUUGCCCGUGCUAGAUAUAUGGUGUCAGUUAAAUUACAAGGAAAUGAAAACGUGGCACUCGUUUGUUGGAUGCGAUAAUGUUGCCUGUAAGUACUUAACCAAGUAGCUUGCCCCAAAUAAAAUCUUAAAGCUUUUGUAUUUUGGUCAUUUGGUGCCUACCUUUAUAUGACAAUGCUCUGUGAGGAAACAUCAAAGGUUUAAGAAUACAGAGAUUAAGAAUUUGCUAUUUUAUUUUGAAAUGAUCUCUUCCUUUUUGUUGAA